rnacentral:rRNA from 1 species
CAGUAGCCGCGGGAAUACGAAGGGUGCAAGCGUUAAUCGGAAUUACUGGGCGUAAAGCGCACGCAGGCGGUCUGACAAGUCAGAUGUGAAAUCCCCGGGCUUAACCUGGGAACUGCAUUUGAAACUGUCAGGCUGGAGUCUUGUAGAGGGGGGUAGAAUUCCAGGUGUAGCGGUGAAAUGCGUAGAGAUCUGGAGGAAUACCGGUGGCGAAGGCGGCCCCCUGGACAAAGACUGACGCUCAGGUGCGAAAGCGUGGGGAGCAAACAGGAUUAGAUACCCCGGUAGUCCCUGUCUCUUAUAC